GGGGCGUUAGCUCAGCGGUAGAGCGCCAUCCUCACACGGUGGAUGUCACUGGUUCAAAUCCAGUACGCCCCACCA
rnacentral:tRNA from 1 species